UAAUCAAAGUGCCCGUACUGCAACAAUGGAGAAGGUUACUCAUGAGUCAUGGACAAAGAACAACCCUGGCAAGUAUUUCUACAAGUGCAAGCAUCACUGGACUAGGAGGUGUAAAUUCUGUUAAUGGGAGGCGGUGUACAUCAAGAAGUGCUUCGUGCAAGGUGGCCUAAGCUGUUCAUCCAUGCCGACAACUUACCCAAGAAUAAUAAGGCGCCUCUCAAUGUCCUCCUCAUCGUUGGGAUUCUCAGCCCAGCCGUUGUUCUGUACCCGUGCAUCAGGCUACACGGAAUAUGCUAAUUUAGGGAUCUGUGAAGCUAAUCCCCUAGAUGUUCCCUAACUAUCUAUCCAGGAAGUUUAGUACCUGCAAUAUAUGUGUGUAACCAGGGAAUUCCUGUACCAAGGAUCUGCCGGAAAGUUCAGGCCUAUCUUCUGGACACUGUAAACAUUUUCAAAUUUGAGUCUUCAAACACACUACCAUAAUGGCAGUUAGUGCAUUUAUACUUCCCUAGACCGGGAUGUGGCUGAUCUCUAUAAUUUACCUGCUCGGAUACAGAGGGACUGCAAUUCAGAUGACAAAAUGCAGUGAACCAAGUGGCAAGCACGGUGGCAAGUAGCCAAGUACAGUCAUCUCCCGAGCAGCGAAAACAGCCGAGGGAGCCCGUGGUAGAUUGAUGAAUCCUGCAAUCCCACACUGUGUGCACCUAAGGUUUUGUUUAAAGCGUGAGCAACAUGUUUGAUUUGAUUUGGAAUGAAGCCAGUUUGGACAACAGAUUUGACACGAGGACUAGAAUGGAGAAACUUGGUGCCAACUCCAUUGCCAGAGCUAUGCGUGCUCCUCUACAUCAUGGCGCUGAAUCUAGGAAGUCUGCAGUAGAGGGGACCCGGUGCUUUGCCAUUGCACAUCCUCUGUUGAAAGAACAGAUUGGCCAUGAUUGAUUUUGGUUAAUGGGGGCAGGAUGUAGAAUGGGGGAGAGAGAGCCUAAAUUAAUUUUUUCCUUUUCGCCGGUGCCCGACAUGUACCGCAAUCAAUUGAUAUUGGGCUCCACUGCUUG